UUAAAGUUUUUGGUAUCACACUACGGUUAUUAGAAGAAGAAAAAAGGGAUAAAAGCAACCGAAAUAUUAGAAGAUCGGAUAAUGUAUAUCCCACACCACGGUUAUCAGAAGAAAGAAGGAUAAAAGCAACCGAAAUAUUAGAUGAACGGAUAAUGUGUUGAAUAUAACGUCAGGCGUUGAGUACUUUACAUUUCAUUUAUCAAAAAAGAGUGAAGCAAGAAAACAAAUAUAGUAGGUUUUAGUGACAAGAAAAUAGGCGUUGGGAUGUGAAAGGAGUCAUUGACCCACAAGCCACAUCAGUUUUAUGACACCCACAUGUGAUGUCUGAUGAGGCCACAGAGAGAUAAGGUUUUUGUUUGUUUGGGUUUGGCCAUUUUCACAACCAAAUGUCAAAUCCUUUUAACGUUACGAUUUUUUAUUUCUGGACGAGUUACGUUAAGGUUUUAUCCUUACAAGUUAAACAAACUCUUCCGCAUGUAUAUACGAUGACCUAACCGCAGCCCCUAGUGGCAAACGAACAUACCCAAAUUCUAAGUUCCAAUCUCAACGAUUUACACUAAACGUAGUCUGCGGUACGUGAGGAGACGUUUCGAGCUCAACGAUCCACCUAAGAGGUUCGAUGCGUUUCACAUAAUGCAUCACUCCAUUUGGCUGCGUAGGCUUAACAUGAGCCCCUGGUGGUAAACGAUUAUAGGGUAUACAAAAAUCACAUAUUGUUAGUUUUUUUAAAUCAUACCACAUAAGUGUAGUAGUUAGUACCUUAACUUCUGGAUAUAAGGGAUGACGUUUAUUUGGUGUCAUCACUAAAUUAAUGAAUGGUGAAUUAUUGCAACUUUCUAAUCUAUAGAGCAACAAUCUAAAAUAAUCUAAACAUUUAAAUUUAUACCAUACCAUAUUACUAACUAUCAAUCAUUUGGUUAGGACGACGAAGUUGGGAUUGUGGUUGUGGUGUAGACAAGGCUGGUUGUUCAUGCGAAGCGAUUCUGUCUUUUGCACUGUCUUCAUUAUUGACCUCGAGGUGGAUCGGUCUCAUCUCUUUCAUCACUGACUCCACAUUAAGAUGUGUAUCAACGAUGUAAAGAUUUUUCUAGUUUAUAUAUGAGUAGAGUUUAACGAAGUAUCCUGGAACUAAAGAAAAAGAAAAAAAAAAAGAGUUUAACGAAGUAGUUUUUUUUUUGUCAACUUAACUAAGUAGCUUAUAUUUGGUUAUUUGGUAAUCCUUUUUUUUUUAUCAUUUUAAAAAGAGGUUCAAUUAGAUGUAUUAUCAUAAUCUCCUUUUAGAUUUAUUUUUAUCAUCUAAUUGUCAACUCAACGAAGGCAUCACAAUCUCCUUGUUAGAGCCACACAUAUACUUGGAUUCAGGUUUAUUAUGGGCUUCCAACUUAAAACCAUUCGGUGAUUAGUGGAUUGACCCUAACCCUUUAUAUAUUAUUUAAUGUUCCUUAGAAUUUUCAGUGUGGGAUAUAUAUCCCUAAUACUCCUCCAAAAGAUGAUGGCUCUUAUCGGCCAGAAAUCUCGGAACUUUAGAACAUUUAUACUCGGUCGAGCGAGUUUAACACAACAUUUAUACCCGGUUGGAAGGGUUAAUCACGACCUUUAUACCCGGUCGGAGAGAUUAAUUUUAAUUAUGAGUUUAGGGUUAUUUAGGAUCUGAGCUCUGAUACCAUGUUAGAUUCGGGUUUAUUAUGAACUUUCAACUUAAAAUCAAUUGGUGAUUAGUUGAUUGACCUUAAACUUUUAUAUAUUACUUAAUGUCCCUUAAAAUUUCUAAUGUUUGGAUAUAUAUCCCUAAUAAUAUUCCGUGGAAGACUGUAGUGGGUUCUCCCAUUAAAUCACUACUCCUUUCGUUAGCUUCUAUUUUAAAUUUUAUUUACUAUGUGAAGAUGUUUACGGUAAAAAAGCUCAGCAACUGUUGGAGAUCUCAAGCUUGCCAUAGAGAUUACCUUCAUCCACGUCUCCAAUAUCUCAUGGACGGUGAUGCGGUUUUAUAGCCAAUCUUCCAUCUCACUUUUCAUGAUACAUGAUAAGAGGUCAAAGCAGGAGUGAGACUCGGUACAAAACAAGAUGCUGUUACUUAAUUGUUUCAGGUAAGGAGGCUCUGUGAAAGGUUUUACACAUUCAAUUUUGUAAUCACAACAAAAUGAUCUGAGGAACAUGUUCUAUUACAAAAGAUAGUAGUAUGUUCAGUGGAAGCUUAUACAAUAAUCAGUAGUACAAGUAGUACAGACAGUGCCUUAAACAAAAAAAAAACAAAGUGGAAAAACAUAGCUUUUGGCAGAACACACAAAAAAACAACUCCUAAGAGAUGUAAUGGCGACUAAGAAGAUACACCGCCACUGCCAAAA